GUUAUAAUUUUGGAGACAACCUUAUGCCCUGGCCCUCAAAGCCGUAUCUGCCCCGCGGGUAUUGUGCAGUUUCCGAAUUGGGUAAGGCCCGGGUUUUAUUUAUGAACCCCGCUCACCGGGAGGUCUUGAACUGGGACCCGUCAGAGGGGAGGGAUCCCCCGACGGGGAAUCGGAGGAUUGGAGACCCCAGUGGGAGGCGCUUUUGUUUGUACCGACGUGAGGCGGGAAACCUGGGAGGAACAGGAUAGAUACCUGUAGUCACGCCGUAAACGAGAGUGUAGGGUUAAAGGUUUCCUCCUUUAGUGCAGCAGCAAACGCAUUAAACACUCCGCCUCGGAGAACGGUCGCAAGACUGAAACUCAAAGGAAUUGACGGGGGCCCGCACAAGCGGUGGAGCAUGUGGUUAAUUCGAAGCAACGCGAAGAACCUACCAGGUCUGGACAUCCUCUGACAACCCUAGAGAUAGGGCUUCCCCUUCGGGGGCAGAGUGACAGGUGGUGCAUGGUUGUCGUCAGCUCGUGUCGUGAGAUGUUGGGUUAAGUCCCGCAACGAGCGCAACCCUUGAUCUUAGUUGCCAGCAUUCAGUUGGGCACUCUAAGGUGACUGCCGGUGACAAACCGGAGGAAGGUGGGGAUGACGUCAAAUCAUCAUGCCCCUUAUGACCUGGGCUACACACGUGCUACAAUGGGCAGAACAAAGGGCAGCGAAGCCGCGAGGCUAAGCCAAUCCCACAAAUCUGUUCUCAGUUCGGAUCGCAGUCUGCAACUCGACUGCGUGAAGCUGGAAUCGUUAGUAAUCGCGGAUCAGCAUGCCGCGGUGAAUACGUUCCCGGGCCUUGUACACACCGCCCGUCACACCACGAGAGUUGGAACACCCGACCCCAUUCCGGAUUCCCA
rnacentral:rRNA from 1 species